AUGGAUGAAUACUUUUUUAAUAAAGUAUGACAUUGUUUAAGUUAUCUUUGGAGGAGUGUAUAUUGAUAUUUUAAGCAAUGUUUACAGAAAGGUAACACUUGAUGUGAGAUUGAUUAAUUUGCCAUAUUUUAUGAUGUUGAACAUGUCUUAUACUUUUUUUAUUACAUUUAUGUAAAUGUGUGUGAGUCCUAAAUAUACAUACAAGAAAUACAUCGAGCUACUCUGCUGCUCCAGUUGCUGCUGGGUCGAGACAACGAUGUUGAGGAUGUGGGGGACAAGCAUGAAGCAGAAGGAGAGCACCAGCAUUGAUAUCGAGUUGGCCAACCAACAGCACCAGUCCGGCCUGCAGGAGCCCCAAUACAAAACGAUCCUUUCCCUCCCCUGAUCCUUAGCUCCUCCCACUGGACCUCCGGCUUCAAAUGGUCAGCAUCGUUACACAAGUCUGUUCUGCAAUAAAUCAUCAGCACGUCAAGUUUUCACGCGCUGUUAUGAACAACCGAAAUGUCUGUGUCGAGAUUUCCCCAAGCAAGCCCGAUUAGUUCUCGCUGUGGACAUCACGAAAAAUCUCACGAAGAAUGAAACGUUGAAUAAUUUGUUUAAUUCUUUAUAAGACAGCUAUAUAUUCAGCGAGGAACGGGAGCAAAUCAAGGAACAAUCGAGACGAUUCAUUCAGAAGAAUAUCUGCUGUAGAUAGUUAGGACAGUAGUAGCGUUACGGACUGUCCUCAGCGCACAAUUUAUUCAUGUGGUGCACCUCAGACGCAAAUUCCCCCCAUUAUUAAAAACAAGUUGCUAAAAGUAAACACGUCCGGUUUUGCACUCCGAGCCCAAACGGCAUCGCAUUGAAUUGAGACUAAAGGAGGCUUAAAAACAUGACACCAGUUUUGUUGUAAGUUACGCCCUUCGACUCUCAACCCGAAGUUUAUCAGAACUCAAACUUGGCCCUUAACAAUAUCUGCGAAGCCAGCAUAUCAGCUCAGCUUCUGAGCUUCAGCACCUGCUAAGCAUAGAAGACAAAGGAGUAGUGAAAGGCUCAGCCAAAUCAAAGUCCAGCGAUGUGAGGGUGAGACAGCCUUACCAUGUCCUCGUAUUGCAACAUGAAGGACAUUUUAGCUGAAACUAACAAGGGAGAGAACUGUAGAUCUGCACCAGCACAGAGCACCAGCAUUGAUAUCAAGUUGACCCAGCAACCGCACAAGUCCCGCCUGCAAGAGACCCAGUCCAGAACCACCCUUCCCCGCCCCUGACUUCUAACUCAUCCCCCUUGACCUCCUGACUCAAAAAGUCAGCAGCGUUGAACAACUCCAUUCUGCAGGAAAUUCUGAGCACAAUUCUGUUCUGAACAAACGCAAUGCCCACAUCAAGGUGUCCACACAUAAGCCUGGGUAGUUUUGUUAAGCUAGAGUUCCGCGUGGGCCUGAAAGGGACGAGUGUUACAGACACGAAAAGUUAAAGAAAAAAAUAGCGGUAGUUAUGGUUACGCUAACAGUCGGUGGUUGCUGUUGGACAUCACAACAAAUAUCAUGAAGAAUAAAAAGUUCAAUAACUUGUUCCAAUCUUUAUGGGACAAAAAGAAAUUGAACAGGAGAAAAUCAAGGAACAAUAAAAGCAUAAGCUUUCCUAUGGGAUACUUCGACUGCUGUUGAUAGUUUGGACAACAGUAGGGUUACGGACUGCCCCAGAUUGUCCUCUCAGCGGCCAAAAUAUCAUAAUAGAACGGACUUUUGGCAAUGUUACUAACAAAGAAAGGCAAUAAUGACUUGGUUGUGAAUACCCAGAGCACGAUACAUCCAUGCUGACAAAGAAAGGCGGUAAUGACUUGGUUGUGAAUACGCAGAGCGCGAUACAUCCAUGCUGACACAUAAAGGCAGUAAUGACUUGGUUGUGAACACCCAGAGCACGAUACAUCCGUGCUGACACAGAAAGGCAGUAAUGACUUGGUUGUGAACACCCAGAGCACAAUACAUCCAUGCUGACACAGAAAGGAAGUAAUGACUUGGUUGUGAACACCCAGAUCAAGAUAUAUCCAUGCUGACACAGAAAGGCAGUAAUAACUAUGCUGUGAACACCCAGAGCAAGAUAUAUCCAUGCUGACACAGAAAGGCAGUAAUGACUAUGCUGUGAACACCCACAGCACAAUACAUCCAUGCUGACGCAGAAAGGCAGUAAUGACUUGGUUGUGAACACCCAGAGCAAGAUAUAUCUAUGCAGACACAGAAAGGAAGUAAGGACUAUGCUGUGAACACCCAGAGCAAGAUAUAUCCAUGCUGACACAGAAAGUUUGUAAGGACUAUGCUGUGAACACCCAGAGAACGAUAUAUUGAUGCUGACGCAGAAAAGCAGUAAUGAUUAUGCUGUGAACACCCAGAGCAAGAUAUAUCCAUGCUGACACAGAAAGGCAUUAAUGACUAUGCAGUGAACACCCAGAGCAAGAUAUAUCCAUGCUGACACAGAAAGGCAGUAAUGACUAUGCUGUGAACAACCAGACCACACAACAUCCAUGCUGACACAGAAAGGCAGUAAUGACUUGGUUGUGAACACCCAGAGCAAGAUAUAUCCAUGCUGACACAGAAAGGCAGUAAUGAUUGGCUGUGAACACAGAACACGAUACACCCAUGCUGACACAGAAAGGCAGUGAUGACUUGGCUGUGAACACAGAACACGAUACACCCAUGCUGACACAGAAAGGCAGUAAUGACUUGGCUGUGAACACAGAACACAAUACAUCCAUGCGGACACAGAAAGGCAGUAAUGACUUGGCUGUGAACACAGACCACAAUACAUCCAUGCUGACACAGAAAGGCAGUUAUGACUUGGUUGUGAACACAGAGCACAAUACAUCCUUGUUGACACAGAAAGGUAGUUAUGACUUGGUUGUGAACACAGAGCACAAUACAUCCUUGUUGACACAGAAAGGUAGUUAUGACUUUGCUGUGAACUCAGAGCACGAUACAUCCAUGCUGACACAGAAAGGCAGUUAUGACUUGGAUGUAAAUACCCAGAGCACAAUACAUCCAUGCUGACACAGAAAGGCAGUAAAGACUUUGUUGUAAACACUAAGAGAUCCAUAUAUCCAUGGGGUGUGCCACAGACACAAAUUACGCCCACUAUUGUGAACAAGGUGCUUAAAUUGAACAUGUUUGGUUUUGUUAUGAGCACUUAGCACUCCGAGCCCAAAAGGCCUCGCAUUGAAUUGAUGCAAGAAAAGGCUUUGAAAAAUAACAGCAGUUUUGUUGUGAGGUCCAGUACGCCCUUUGACUUGCAACCUGAAUAAAGCAGAACUCAAACUCAGCUCUUAGCAAUAUCAGCAAGAUCAGCAUGCCAUCUUAGCUUCUUGAGCACAGUGAACUUUACUAGCAAACAUGACAAACGUCAUUGAAAUGAAAGUCGAUGACAACCCCCUUCUUGCACAAAUACUACAACUUGCUUAAGAAAAUCAGCAUGAAGACGUCUUGCGUCAGACUACCAAGCCUCCUAUCAAUAUAUCCUCCCAUGUUGGCUACAUCAACACUUCCAACAGCAGAGCCUUGGUGAGUUUGACUUCCGUCUCAGCAUCCAUGUCGCUUAGCAACAAUUGAAUGAUGGGCGUCGACAAAUUAGGCCGGACAAGUCGCUCAAACUGAAACGAUCUGAUCCAACAGGUAGAGCAAGCGUUGCGUGACACGUCCGUUAAUGUGACUGACCUCGAUAUGUUGUUCUCGAAUAAUGUGAACCUUAGGCCUGGAGAGCAGUAUGUGAUUGACGCCAUUCAACAACAGUUGUUAUUGGCAAUUCUCAGGUUUGGGGUGGCGACUUCAGCGUCAGGACUCACUCCAUCUCUGUCCAUGGCCCAGUCGCAGCAGCAGCAACAAGAACAAUAAAGGAGGUUCCUACAGGAUCCCAUGCAGUCAUAGAUCGGUACCCAGCUGAACAACAGGCUGUCUGGGACAUAUGUCAGUGAUGCGCAAAGAGCUGGUUUUCUGUUCACAGAGAAAUAUCCUAACAACUCCAACUCAACCACUACAUCUCAGUAGACAACCCGAAUAUCAAGGCGUUAAGUUUCUUCUGGAUGCAGUUACAGUCACAGCUUUCAAGCCAGCAGCUGUCAAUGUAUUGAGAUUCUCUCCUCUCCAUGUUAUCUGACCUGCUACCUGUGAACAUCCUGCACAUAGAACCUUU